rnacentral:rRNA from 1 species
AGAGUUUGAUCCUGGCUCAGCGCCCGCCGCGCCCCGCGCCCGUCCCGCCGCCCCCGCCCGUCACACCACGAGAGUUUGUAACACCCGAAGUCGGUGAGGUAACCGUAAGGAGCCAGCCGCCGCGGU